rnacentral:miRNA from 1 species
CAACAAAAAAAAAAGGACAACA